CCGCUGAAUUUAAGCAUAUCACUAAGCGGAGGAAAAGAAACUAACCAGGAUUCCCCUAGUAACGGCGAGUGAAGAGGGAAAAGCCCAGCACCGAAGCCUGUGGCAAUUUUGCUGCUAGGCAAUGUGGUGUUUAGGUCGGCUCGUGGGAUCGCCACUCCACUCGAAGUCCAGCAUUGAGUAUGGUUCCCAGGAAUUGGCCCAUAGAGGGUGAAAGGCCCGUACGAGUGGAUGUGUCAGAUAUGUAAGGCGAUUCACCAGGCCGGCCUUAGAGUCGGGUUGUUUGCGAAUGCAGCCCAAAGUGGGUGGUAAACUCCAUCCAAGGCUAAAUACUAGCACGAGUCCGAUAGCGAACAAGUACCGUGAGGGAAAGUUGAAAAGUACUUUGAAGAGAGAGUAAACAGUACGUGAAACCGCAUAGAGGUAAACGGGUGGCGUCAAGCUGCAAGCCCAGAGAAUUCAGUCGGUCAGGGUGUUGUCAUGCGCCCAGCGCAUCUAUCAGUCGGUGUAGGAUUUGGCUAGUCCGCUUGAAGAUGGCGGGCCCAGCUAGCAAUAGCUGGGAUUUGCGUACCGGGCGGUAGCCGGAGCAUGCUAGCCGUCUGUAGGACUGCCUGGCCGAUGCACUUUCUCUGUUGGUGAACACCACGACCGGUGGUACUGCCAGUCUGCUGUAGCCAGCUUCGUUGCAUACUCUGGCCUUUUGGUUGGGGCGUGUGGCGAUCACAGACAAUUUCAGUGCACGGUGCUUGUGUGUUUUUCGCAUGCGGGCAUGUUAUCGGGAACUGGUUGUAAACGGGUCGGCCUGUCGACUUGUCUGUAGUCGUGGUUGAUGGGUGACCCGGUGGGCUAUGGUGGUAUGAAUAACUGUGCAGGGCACCGGAGUUUUCGGUCCGACCAGCAGUAGUCGUUCGCGGCUGCUGUUGCCGGCUGCAUACGCACUGCAGUUUAGCGUGUGCACUGUCUUUGGCAGUAGUACGGGCGGCGCUGUUUACGGCCUGCCAGUCGUUGGGUCUGAUUGUCGUGUCGCCUGCCAAAAUGGUGGGUCCGGCGGUGGCCUGGCGUUGGAUGGUGCCUGUAGACGGAGCUGUCGUUGUGCAGCCGGUAUUUGUGUGCGCGACCUUAUAGUCUGUGGUGUAGUGGUAGACGAGCUACCCGACCCGUCUUGAAACACGGACCAAGGAGUUUAACAUGCGCGCGAGUCAUUGGGUCCUACGAAACCCAGAGGCGCAGUGAAAGUAAAGCUUCGACAUAUAUUGUUCUCGGGGUGUGGUGAGAUCCUGCUGUUUCUCGCAUACAUUUGUCCAGCACUGGGCUAACUAAACGAGCAGUGGGCGCAUCACCGGCCCGUCCCAUGAUGUGGCUAUCUGUCAGUGGCAGUUGUCGCCUUACGGUGGUGGUUGCUUUCUGCGGGUACGUCAUCGGGGCGGAGCAUGAGCGCGCAUGUUGAGACCCGAAAGAUGGUGAACUAUGCUUGCGUAGGUUGAAGCCAGAGGAAACUCUGGUGGAGGACCGCAGCGAUUCUGACGUGCAAAUCGAUCGUCAAACGUGAGUAUAGGGGCGAAAGACUAAUCGAACCAUCUAGUAGCUGGUUCCCUCCGAAGUUUCCCUCAGGAUAGC
rnacentral:rRNA from 1 species